GGGCCUAGCGGUAAGGCGCGGGGCUCGUCGAAGGGCGGGGUUUAGAGCCCCCCAGGCUACACAGCCAAAGCCAGGGGGCUGGCCUAGCCAAAAGGGGCGGGCGAGCACGGCCCGCGGGCGGUGUUUACUGGAGCUGGUGGACGGGGCGGCUGACCGAGAGGCUGACGCGCGGCGGGGCAGACAGCUGGGGACUGCGGGCGGCGCUGUGUCCGUCGCCAUGACAGAUCAGACCUAUUGUGACCGCCUGGUGCAGGACACGCCUUUCCUGACAGGCCACGGGCGCUUGAGUGAGCAGCAGGUGGACAGGAUCAUCCUCCAGCUGAACCGUUACUACCCACAGAUCCUUACCAACAAGGAGGCGGAAAAGUUCCGGAACCCCAAGGCAUCCUUGCGUGUGAGGCUCUGUGACCUCCUGAGCCACCUGCAGCGGAGCAGUGAGCGGGACUGCCAGGAGUUCUACCGAGCCCUGUAUAUCCAUGCCCAGCCCCUGCACAGCCGCCUGCCCAGCCGCCACGCUCUGCGUAAGUUCCACGUCCCCAACCAUGCAUGCUUGGUGCUGGGCCAGGGAGGGCACCCCAGCCUGCUGUUGAUGGCAUGGAUGUCCUCCAUGACCACCCAAGUCUGCUGCAGCCCAGGCCUGGCAUCCCCUCUCGCCUCAGCCCCUCCCCAGAGGCCACCCUCUGGCCCCGAGGGGAGAGUGUGGCAGGCACAGGCAGUGCAGAUGUUGGUCUUUGUCUUACACUUUCUCCCCCUUCCUCCGUCUCUCUCUUUCAUGGCAGUUUUCACACAGCAUGGGGCAUCUCGUACGUCCGCUCUUGCCCUUCCUUUUCUAACCUCAUUCCACGGGGAUCCCUUCAUGUCUGUGUGGACAGCAGCCUUGUUCCCACAGCUGCAUGGCGCUCCUAGGCAGUCCCAGCUGGAAUUACCCAACCCCAUGACGGACCCUUUCAUUGCAGCGAUCUGCACACGUGUGGGUGUUUCCAUAGGGCAUUGUCAGGCACAGAUGGCUGGUCCGAAGCACGUGCAUUUCAGUUUUGAGGCUCCUGUCCUCAGGCAGUGUGCACUCAGGCCCUGGGAGUCAUGUGGAUGCCAGUAGCCUGGGCCCACAGAGCUGCCGGGACAUGGGGGGCACAUCAAGGUGAAGAUGGCAACUCUGAUCUGACGCCUCUGUGCUCAGGGUCCCUGGAGGAGGGGCUACUGCCCCUUGGCGCUUAGACAACAGGACAGAGACCAGAGGGACUGGGUGGCUCGCCCCAGGCUACUGGGCUGGGGUCUCUGACCCCCCCGGAGGCCUCCCAGGACACAGUGUAGACGGUGGGCAGGGAGAGCUUGAGGGGAGGCCCAGCCCUGCAGGUGGGACUGGCUCUCCCUCCCCAGCCACGAGUAUGCCACAGGGGGCUUUCAAAACCAGGCAGGGCCAAGCCUCAGCCCCACUGGAGGUAGAGCACCUUCUGUGGCUCCUGGGUGCCUUUAGGCCCUUCCAGGUCACAGGCUGGAGAGCCUCCCGGGGAGGCCUGGGCAGAAAGCUCCUGGCCCAGCUGCACCCAGUGAGGCACCCACCAUGCCGACAGCAGCCAUGCUGUCCACAGCGACGUUCAUGCUGCGUUUGGUGCCUGUGGCCACCAGGGUACAAUGGCUUUCCCCAUGCCUGUGGCACUUGAAGUCACGAAGUCACAGGAGCUGGACCAGAGGAGAAGACCCAGACUGCGCAUAGUUCCCUGAGGAGGGCUGGCCUCAGGUGCCACAGCCUGGUUUGGCCUGGCGGCCCCAGGAGGCAGCAGCAGCCUUGGGCUUCCUGUGGGGUGACUACCUUGCUCUCCGGCCCUGCCCGUUGACUAACCAUGCUCUGUGGUUUUGUUUCCAGAGAACUCAGAUUGCACAGAGCUAGACUCGGGCAGCCAGAGCGGCGAGCUGAGUGACAGGGGACCCAUGAGCUUCCUGGCUGGCCUGGGCCUUGCUGUGGGACUGGCCCUGCUCCUGUACUGCUAUCCACCAGACCCCAAGGGCCUGCCAGGGACCCGGCGCGUCCUCGGUUUCUCACCUGUCAUCAUCGACAGACAUGUCAGCCGCUACCUGCUGGCCUUCCUGGCAGAUGACCUAGGGGGGCUCUGACAGACCCCUGACCCAGGGCCUCACCUGCCACUCAACCAAAGAGUCCUCCAGCCGGCCCGCCAAGGGGACUGCUGCUUCUUUUUCUAAAUGCGUAUUUUUCAUUAUUUAUAAUUUGUGUAAAAAACACACCUUCACCUUACAAGGUGCUGACCAUAUUAAAUGUUCAGGUUCUCUCA